rnacentral:tRNA from 1 species
GCCGAGGUGGCGGAAUUGGUCUACGCGCGUCACUUAAGAUGACGUGACCGAAAGGUCAUGAGGGUUCAAAUCCCUCCCUCGGCA